AUGUUGGCCAAUGAGACAGACACCAUACUGUCCAACUCAAAGAUGAGAUAUAAUCGUUUGCCCCUGUGAUUCUUCAGGACAAGAUCUUGAUCCACAUUCAGACAUGAAGAAGGGCCAUGCUCAGACCAGCACUCCUGGCAUCUCAACACCCAAGAUGGUGCUUAAAGGGAUACUCCACUUUUUUUGGUAAUAUGUUUAUUUUACAACUCCCCC